UUUAAUUUUUUAAUGGCAACGUGGUGCUUCAAUUUAUUAUUAAUAAUAAUAAAUUCUGUAAAAAUAAUUAUAUUCAAAAUAACGGUUUACUUGCUGGAAAUUAGGAACCAAAUUACCCUUGCUAAACCCUUUUGCAAUUUCGCUAUCACCACACGCGAAAAUUCUGCAUCGUCAUCGUCGUCUGCAUCAGUUUCGCGAGCCGAUGGUGGUGACGCCGACGAUCCUCCUCCGCUUCGUCCGACUCGCCGACCCUAAAUCCUCCUCUCACUUCUCGUUCGACGCGCCGUCUUGUCUGCAUCGUCGUCGGCAUCUGCUCGUCGUCGGGAACGUAGACCACGGUCGUUGGCUUAAAGGUAAACACGCCGUAGUGCACAAUUGGUGGCACUGAACUGAAGUAUCAUGAUAGCAUAAGCUGCUAUGUACUACGAAAUAUAUUUUUGGGGAAUGAAGUUCCAUUAUCAUUGGCAUUAACAUGUGGUUUCUUCACAAAUUAUAUCCACUUAUUAAAAAAUUGUAGUAAGUUUGUCUGUAUAUGAGGAUAUUUGUGGUUUGCUACUCCAAGCUAAUGAAAGCAACAGUAGGCUCUUGUUUGCAGAUCCUUGAAUGUUUUGCUUACAAAUCCGAUCUGGGUACUCGUCACUCGGAUGCAGCGUCUUUGUUCAUAUACACAAACCCAAGCAAAAAGAAAUAUAUGCUGGACACCUGCUGGCUGCAGUUAAGAUUUUGCUUGUCUAACUUUUGUAUGCACUGUUUAGGGUGAAAUGUAUGAUGCAUGUGGAAUGUGGAUUGACUUGCAGCUUAGUAUAUUUCACUUUUUGGAGCAGCUGUUUAUAGUCUGUUCUAAUGCAAAACUUUCAUUCGCGUUCGAGUGUCAUCUUAUUUAUUUUUAGGUUUCUGUCUGACAUUUCUAAAUUUUUGUUUUGGUAAACUUAAUUUUUGUAAGGAUCUUUUUCCUCUUGGUUAUUCUCAAACAAUCUGCAAGCUAUCUGGUUCUAUGUGUAGGAGUUUUUGUGAAGCUUUUUAUUGAGAUAACUAAUGAAUUUUCUGAAAUAUUGUUCUACAACAUUUCAUAAGCACCAAAAAGUACUUAAUUCCACAAUAGCAUUUGAUUGACUACAAGCUGGAAAACUAGCAUAUUUUCCUAUAUUUGCAUUCCCUAUUCAAAUUCGGAAUCUUCAUCAUUGUCAGAUGAUGGCUGCUGAGACUCAUCACUGUCAGAUGGCUGCUGAGACUCAUCACUGUCGCUCAGAAUGUAUGUUAUCGGUUUCCUGUUCCCCUGUUGUGGUCUAGGUCUUGAUGGCAUAACUUCAUUAAUGGUAUCCAAAGAAUUUUCUUUAUUGUUGUCUUCAGAAUUAGGCUCUACUUCUUCCAUUCUGUUCAAAACAAACCCACUUUUCUUAUGGAAAGGAGAAGGCCUCAUCCUCCUUACCUUCGCCUCAGGUGAUGUGUCUGUUGUAUCUGAAGCUUUGAAGCUAUCAGUUAUCAGCUUUUGUCCUGCCUGUGAUGUCUUACUGGCUGCCCCUCUUUUCUUUGUUCCUGCAGCAGCUCACCCCUUCCUUUCAUCACAUGUUCUGCAAAUUCAGGCUCAAAGUUGCCAUCAUCAUUUGAGAUGUCUUCGACUACUUUGGCAUCUGCAUGUAUUGGUGCAUCAAAUUCCAUUCCUGUUCGAGACAAGAAAAUCAAUUACUAACAAAUAAUCCAAUUUUUUAAUUUUUAGGAAGUAAGGAAUGGAAAUUCACCAGCUUCUUUUUCAAGAGAGGAAUCCAACUGCUAGGCAGCAAGCCGUUGUCUUAGAUCUGACUUUCAUUUCAUUUUUGAUACACACAAAUAUUAUUCAUUGUCUAUAUUAAAGUAUUUGUGAUUUCUUGUGUAUAGUGCCCUCGCCAACCGCCUGGUACUCUAGACUGUGGAUAUUAUGUGUGUCGCUACAUGCUUGAGACGGUACAGUUGAGGCGACUAGUUAUUCCUGAUAAGUACUAUCAAGGCAUUGGUCCAACAUAUUCUCAAGAGAAAAUUGAUGAACUCAGAGAGUUGUGGAUUACAUAUGUCAAAGAUCAACACGAAGCACAAAUGAUGAAUGAGUUCGAACUUUUCGCCUAAUUUUUUUAACCUUAUUCCACUUUUGGACAUACAUUAUAUUUUUUGGAUUUGGAUAUUGAUAUCAUGUGGAUGUGGCUAUGGGAUAGAUUUGAUCUUGUUAUGAUUUAGAUUAAUAUUAAUAUGUAUAUAUAGUAGUUUUUUUAGAAGUUUAGAUUUAUGAAUAUUAGUUGAAUUAUUUUGUAAUAUAAAGAAUUUUGGAAGUUUGGAAUAUCAAUUUAAUUUAUUGGUUGUGA